CGGUGUCAGCCAUCUAUCCGGUGCUGUGAGGAAGAGUGUGGGGGCGGAAGGGUUCCCGGGCAUACUAUGUCUAAGUAGGGGGAUCCCUCGGAGCAGAGCCAGUCGGUGCGAGUCACAUUCUGCAGUACUUCCUGUGCUGGAUCCACUUCCGACAUUAACUCCAAAUUUCGUCUCAUAUUCAACUGGGCCUGAAGUUGUUGCUGCGUAGGAGUUGAAGGUUGUUUCCAUGAUCUGGCUAUUAAAGUUAUUGCCGUGUUGAAGAUUUGAAAUAGCAACCGCUUUUUUUCCUUUGUGAUUCUCAUUGGGUAUAUUUGUAAUAAAGCUAUUUGUGGAA